UACGUAGGGUGCGAGCGUUGUCCGGAAUUAUUGGGCGUAAAGGGCUCGUAGGCGGUUUGUCGCGUCGGGAGUGAAAAUCCAGGGCUUAACUCUGGACUGGCUUCCGAUACGGGCAGACUAGAGGUAUGCAGGGGAGAACGGAAUUCCUGGUGUAGCGGUGAAAUGCGCAGAUAUCAGGAGGAACACCGGUGGCGAAGGCGGUUCUCUGGGCAUGUUCUGACGCUGAGGAGCGAAAGUGUGGGGAGCGAACAGG
rnacentral:rRNA from 1 species